rnacentral:rRNA from 1 species
GAGUUUGAUCCUGGCUCAGAUUGAACGCUGGCGGCAUGCUUUACACAUGCAAGUCGGACGGCAGCACAGAGAAGCUUGCUUCUUGGGUGGCGAGUGGCGAACGGGUGAGUAACAUAUCGGAACGUACCGAGUAGUGGGGGAUAACUGAUCGAAAGAUCAGCUAAUACCGCAUACGUCUUGAGAGAGAAAGCAGGGGACCUUCGGGCCUUGCGCUAUUCGAGCGGCCGAUAUCUGAUUAGCUAGUUGGUGGGGUAAAGGCCUACCAAGGCGACGAUCAGUAGCGGGUCUGAGAGGAUGAUCCGCCACACUGGGACUGAGACACGGCCCAGACUCCUACGGGAGGCAGCAGUGGGGAAUUUUGGACAAUGGGCGCAAGCCUGAUCCAGCCAUGCCGCGUGUCUGAAGAAGGCCUUCGGGUUGUAAAGGACUUUUGUCAGGGAAGAAAGGCUGUUGCUAAUACCAGCGGCUGAUGACGGUACCUGAAGAAUAAGCACCGGCUAACUACGUGCCAGCAGCCGCGGUAAUACGUAGGGUGCGAGCGUUAAUCGGAAUUACUGGGCGUAAAGCGGGCGCAGACGGUUACUUAAGCAGGAUGUGAAAUCCCCGGGCUCAACCCGGGAACUGCGUUCUGAACUGGGUGACUCGAGUGUGUCAGAGGGAGGUAGAAUUCCACGUGUAGCAGUGAAAUGCGUAGAGAUGUGGAGGAAUACCGAUGGCGAAGGCAGCCUCCUGGGAUAACACUGACGUUCAUGCCCGAAAGCGUGGGUAGCAAACAGGAUUAGAUACCCUGGUAGUCCACGCCCUAAACGAUGUCAAUUAGCUGUUGGGCAACUUGAUUGCUUGGUAGCGUAGCUAACGCGUGAAAUUGACCGCCUGGGGAGUACGGUCGCAAGAUUAAAACUCAAAGGAAUUGACGGGGACCCGCACAAGCGGUGGAUGAUGUGGAUUAAUUCGAUGCAACGCGAAGAACCUUACCUGGUCUUGACAUGUACGGAAUCCUCCAGAGACGGAGGAGUGCCUUCGGGAGCCGUAACACAGGUGCUGCAUGGCUGUCGUCAGCUCGUGUCGUGAGAUGUUGGGUUAAGUCCCGCAACGAGCGCAACCCUUGUCAUUAGUUGCCAUCAUUCAGUUGGGCACUCUAAUGAAACUGCCGGUGACAAGCCGGAGGAAGGUGGGGAUGACGUCAAGUCCUCAUGGCCCUUAUGACCAGGGCUUCACACGUCAUACAAUGGUCGGUACAGAGGGUAGCCAAGCCGCGAGGCGGAGCCAAUCUCACAAAACCGAUCGUAGUCCGGAUUGCACUCUGCAACUCGAGUGCAUGAAGUCGGAAUCGCUAGUAAUCGCAGGUCAGCAUACUGCGGUGAAUACGUUCCCGGGUCUUGUACACACCGCCCGUCACACCAUGGGAGUGGGGGAUACCAGAAGUAGGUAGGGUAACCGCAAGGAGUCCGCUUACCACGGUAUGCUUCAUGACUGGGGUGAAGUCGUAACAAGGUAGCCGUAGGGGAACCUGCGGCUGGAUCACC